rnacentral:rRNA from 1 species
AGAGUUUGAUCCUGGCUCAGAUUGAACGCUGGCGGCAUGCCUUACACAUGCAAGUCGAGCGGCAGCGCGGGGGCAACCCUGGCGGCGAGCGGCGAACGGGUGAGUAAUACAUCGGAACGUGUCCAGUAGCGGGGGAUAACCUGUCGAAAGAUAGGCUAAUACCGCAUACGACCUACGGGUGAAAGCGGGGGACCGCAAGGCCUCGCACUAUUGGAGCGGCCGAUGUCGGAUUAGCUAGUUGGCGGGGUGAAAGCCCACCAAGGCGACGAUCCGUAGCUGGUCUGAGAGGACGAUCAGCCACACUGGAACUGAGACACGGUCCAGACUCCUACGGGAGGCAGCAGUGGGGAAUUUUGGACAAUGGGGGCAACCCUGAUCCAGCCAUGCCGCGUGAGUGAAGAAGGCCUUCGGGUUGUAAAGCUCUUUCGGCGGGGACGAAACGGUCCGUGACAACACCACGGACUAAUGACAGUACUCGCAGAAGAAGCACCGGCUAACUACGUGCCAGCAGCCGCGGUAAUACGUAGGGUGCAGGCGUUAAUCGGAAUUACUGGGCGUAAAGCGUGCGCAGGCGGCUCCUUAAGUCAGAUGUGAAAUCCCCGGGCUUAACCUGGGAACUGCGUUUGAAACUGAGGAGCUAGAGUGUGGAAGAGGGGGGUGGAAUUCCAGGUGUAGCAGUGAAAUGCGUAGAGAUCUGGAGGAACACCGAUGGCGAAGGCAGCCCCCUGGGCUAACACUGACGCUCAUGCACGAAAGCGUGGGGAGCAAACAGGAUUAGAUACCCUGGUAGUCCACGCCCUAAACGAUGUCAACUAGUUGUCAGGGAAGCAAUUCCUUGGUAACGAAGCUAACGCGUGAAGUUGACCGCCUGGGGAGUACGGCCGCAAGGUUAAAACUUAAAGGAAUUGACGG